rnacentral:rRNA from 1 species
GACGUAGGGCGCGAGCGUUGUCCGGAUUUAUUGGGCGUAAAGAGCUCGUAGGCGGCUUGUCGCGUCGAAUGUGAAAUCUCGGGGGCUCAACUCCGAGCUUGCAUUCGAUACGGGCAGGCUAGAGUUCGGUAGGGGAGACUGGAAUUCCUGGUGUAGCGGUGAAAUGCGCAGAUAUCAGGAGGAACACCGGUGGCGAAGGCGGGUCUCUGGGCCGAUACUGACGCUGAGGAGCGAAAAGCGUGGGGGAGCGAACAGG